rnacentral:miRNA from 1 species
UGAUCUACUAGCUCCUCGGCA